UGGCUCCUAGCUUCAGCCCUACA
rnacentral:piRNA from 1 species